rnacentral:rRNA from 1 species
GACGAACGCUGGCGGCGUGCUUAACACAUGCAAGUCGAACGGACAGGCCACUUUCUGGGGGUACUCGCGUGGCGAACGGGUGAGUAACUCGUGAGUAACCUGCCCUUGACUUUGGGAUAACUUCGGGAAACUGGGGCUAAUACCGGAUAGGAGAUCCAGCUGCAUGGUGGGGGUUGGAAAGUUUCGGCGGUUGGGGGUGGACUGGCGGCUUAUCCGCUUGUUGGUGGGGUAGUGGCUUACUAAGGCCUUGCCGGGUAGCCGGCCUGUGGAGGUGACAGGCCAUAUUGGGUCUGAGGGGCGGCACAAGCAGCGACGGGAGCGAGAAGUGGGGAAGAUUGCACGAGGGGUGGAAGCCGGAUGCAGCAACGCCGUGGGCGGGAUGACGCUCUUAGGGUUGAAGAACGAUUGCGCAAGUGACGAAGCAUUGUGUGACGGUAGUGGGUAAAGAAGCACCGGCUAACUACGUG